AUUGAACGCUGGCGGCAGGCCUAACACAUGCAAGUCGAGCGAGUGGCGGACGGGUGAGUAAUGUCUGGGAAACUGCCUGAUGGAGGGGGAUAACUACUGGAAACGGUAGCUAAUACCGCAUACCAUCAGAUGUGCCCAGAUGGGAUUAGCUAGUGGGUGGGGUAACGGCUCACCUAGGCGACGAGCCCUAGCGGGUCUGAGAGGAGGACCAGCCACACUGGAACUGAGAAACGGCCCAGAGUCCUAGGGGAGGAAGCAGGGGGGAAUAUUGCACAAUGGGCGAAAGCCGGAUGCAGCCAUGCCGCGUGUAUGAAGAAGGCCUUCGGGUUGUAAAGUACGUUCAGCGGGAAGGCGUUACCCGCAGAAGAAGCACCGGCUAACUCCGUGCCAGCAGCCGCGGUAAUAC
rnacentral:rRNA from 1 species